rnacentral:rRNA from 1 species
CCUACGGGAGGCUGCAGUGAGGAAUAUUGGUCAAUGGACGAGAGUCUGAACCAGCCAAGUAGCGUGAAGGAUGACUGCCCUAUGGGUUGUAAACUUCUUUUAUAUGGGAAUAAAAUGUUCCACGUGUGGGAUUUUGUAUGUACCAUAUGAAUAAGGAUCGGCUAACUCCGUGCCAGCAGCCGCGGUAAUACGGAGGAUCCGAGCGUUAUCCGGAUUUAUUGGGUUUAAAGGGAGCGUAGGUGGAUUGUUAAGUCAGUUGUGAAAGUUUGCGGCUCAACCGUAAAAUUGCAGUUGAAACUGGCAGUCUUGAGUACAGUAGAGGUGGGCGGAAUUCGUGGUGUAGCGGUGAAAUGCUUAGAUAUCACGAAGAACGCCGAUUGCGAAGGCAGUUCACUGGACUGCAACUGACACUGAGGCUCGAAAGUGUGGGUAUCAAACAGGAGUAGAUACCCCUGUAGUC